UACGUAGGGUGCGAGCGUUAAUCGGAAUUACUGGGCGUAAAGCGUGCGCAGGCGGUUUUGUAAGCCAGAUGUGAAAUCCCCGGGCUCAACCUGGGAAUGGCAUUUGGGACUGCAAGGCUUGAGUGCGGCAGAGGAGACUGGAAUUCCUGGUGUAGCAGUGAAAUGCGUAGAUAUCAGGAGGAAUACCGAUGGCGAAGGCAGGUCUCUGGGCCGAUACUGACGCUGAGGAGCGAAAGCGUGGGGAGCGAACAGG
rnacentral:rRNA from 1 species